AUGGAUGGCGACAGCUUCGAAGGAUGGGGUUCGCAGCCCUCUGCAAGCGGCCCAGCUACCCACGCCAAUCUCGACCUCAACUCGCAAGCUUCGCCGUCGGAAGGGUUCCCAGGGCUUGGGUUGUACGGAGCUUUCCUCCAGAGCGACGGCGAGCAGGUCCUCCCUGGGCGCGGCAGGGGCUUCGGGCUCCCUCACUAUCACCCACCACGUGCUGGAGCAGGAGAUGGAUGGGCGAAUCCGUCGCCACCCUUCAUUCGGCAACUGAACUUUGGCGGCUCCUCGUCAGCAGCAGCCGGUCCGGGUGCCGGUCGCGGAGCAGGCGGCGUCGUUCGGCAGCGAGCCAACUUGUCCGCCGCGGCACCCGGCCGCCGUAACCAGCGCACCGGCACGAGGAGUCGUGGCAGUGGUGGCGGCUAUCGCGUACCGCCUCCCCGGGCACCGCGGAGUGCCCUACAUGGGCAAGCAUCCGGCUCCAGCACUCCCUUUGACAAUGGUGAUGAAGAAUUGGAGGACGAUGUGGAGGAGUUAGCGAGCUCCGGAGAUCCCCUGGUGAGCCAAAGCAAUCGAGCCCACUGGAAUGAUACUAAUAGUGCUUGCUUGUUAGAAUUGUGCAUUCAGCAACGUGCAGCAGGAACUUAUAAUGGUACAAUGAUGAGUGGUGAAGGGUACCAAGCCGUUAUCGACGGCUUACUUGCUAGAAGGGGGUUGGUAUAUAGCCGUUUGCAGGUGAAGAACCAGAUAGUCGUACUCAAAAACACUUACACUUUCUGGCGAUACAUGCAAGUGCAUACAGGGUUGGGGAGGAAACCGGAUGGAACCAUUGAUGCCGACUCUGAGUUCUGGAUAACACACACAGAGAAGAAACCAUACCUACGGAAGCUGCAGUGGGGUCCUCCAGCAAAUGAGGAGUUGCUUGAUCAAUUGUUCAGAGGUUACACUGUGGAUGGAAGCACAGCCUUUGUGCCUGGAGAUGAUUACGGUCAGAAUCAAGGGCAAGAUUUAGGUGCAGGAGAGGAAGAGGAGGAGUUUCAAGGAACACCUACAAGCAACCAGAGGAGCCAGAGAUGCAAGAGGUCAACAAGCACUUCGAGCACUUUGACCAAUCCAUUGAAGAAGAGCAAGAGCCCAAUGGUGAAGAUUGUGAAGGACAUAUCUAGUACCUUCAAGGAGUCUGUCGCAGCCAACACUAAGCAAAUGCAGAAACGUGCAAAUGAGAAGGCUGCAUUUUCUGUGAAGAGGUGUCAGGAGGUAGCAUUUGAGUGUGGCAUUGAGCAAACAAUUGACUCUGUCUAUGCUCUGUCCAAGAUGUUCGAAACGGAGUACCAAAGGGAGUUCUUCUGUGGCCUAUUAACACACGAGCUUAGGUUGGGUUACUUCAAGAAAUGGUGCAGGGACAACAAUUUGGAGUAG
rnacentral:rRNA from 1 species